rnacentral:rRNA from 1 species
UACGGAGGGUGCAAACGUUGCUCGGAAUCAUUGGGCGUAAAGCGCUCGUAGGUGGCUUGUUAAGUCGGGUGUGAAAUCCCUGGGCUCAACCCAGGAAGUGCACUCGAAACUGGCGAGCUUGAGUACUGAAGAGGGUCGCGGAAUUCCCGGUGUAGAGGUGAAAUUCGUAGAUAUUCGCAAGAACACCAGUGGCGAAGGCGGCUCACUGGCCCGAUACUGACGCUGAGGCACGAAAGCGUGGGGAGCAAACAGG